rnacentral:rRNA from 1 species
AGUGAACGCUGGCGGUAGGCCUAACACAUGCAAGUCGAACGGCAGCACAGUAAGAGCUUGCUCUUACGGGUGGCGAGUGGCGGACGGGUGAGGAAUACAUCGGAAUCUACUUUUUCGUGGGGGGUAACGUAGGGAAACUUACGCUAAUACCGCAUACGACCUACGGGUGAAAGCAGGGGAUCUUCGGACCUUGCGCGAUUGAAUGAGCCGAUGUCGGAUUAGCUAGUUGGCGGGGUAAAGGCCCACCAAGGCGACGAUCCGUAGCUGGUCUGAGAGGAUGAUCAGCCACACUGGAACUGAGACACGGUCCAGACUCCUACGGGAGGCAGCAGUGGGGAAUAUUGGACAAUGGGCGCAAGCCUGAUCCAGCCAUACCGCGUGGGUGAAGAAGGCCUUCGGGUUGCAAAGCCCUUUUGUUGGGAAAGAAAAGCAGCAGGUUAAUACCCCGCCGUUCUGACGGUACCCAAAGAAUAAGCACCGGCUAACUUCGUG